CAGCUGCUUUCAAUAACUUCGAUUGCAAUCAGUGGAAGCAGAAUGUGAGAAGGUUUUGUGUCCCCUCUGGUACCUUUCCUGCCGCUGUGGCUUCACUCAGAGCAUGAGUGAUUAUUUUGCUGGUCAGAAGCUUUAAUCAUUAUUUUGCUGCAGGUAGAGUCUGUAGUUUAACUCACUCUCAUGGCUCUUUCAUUCAGGCUCUCCUGGCUUUGCACUCUGUUGUGGAGCUGCUUGUGCUUUCCUCCUCAAGAAGGUUACAGUACUGCACAUGGCUACUAUCUCUAUGAGAGCCCCCAAACCUCUAGCACAUUUCAUUCUGGACAAUCUUUGAAUACAAACAAUGAGAAUGUUGGACGGCAAAGCUUUGUUUCCCGUCAGCCAGAAGCAUUUAUUGAUGAUAAAGGACAGGAUGCUAACGCUGAGAUGAAGCAAAGCCAGCCUGAUAAAUUUCACGGGGCCUCUUCUGCUCCUCUCAUAGGGCAAAAUGAGCAGUCUGGUUAUCACCAUCCCUUUGACUUGUUAGUGAGGGGACACACGCAGGAGCCUGUGAAGGGUGUCGCUUUCCCCACAAUGAGUCAUUUAAAGGAGUUUAUAGAAAACAUGAAGCGUUCCUUCUUAGUACCAGGAAGUGACUUGAGUAGACAUUUUGAAACUGCACGGGAAAAAAUGAAAACUCUCGGAACAUCCAUGGACUAUGGACCAACUCCUGACAAAGGAGGUACUGCCUCUGGUGACAGCAGGAUAAAUAACGAUCGGAUUGAAGAAGGUGCCAACUACCAAACGCCAAAUAAACGCCUCUCUUUCCCUGAUCCUUUCGACUCCUCUGCAAGUCUCAUUUCUUCCAGUGUUUAUGACAACCAAAAAUUUAGGCCGGGCACCACUUUCUACCCACACGAUCAUUUAGCAGCCACAGGUCUUGCUUCAAGAAAUUUGGCGCACGGUUUUCCCUGGGGAAACAAUGACUUAUCUGUGAGUGUGGAGUCAGAACGACACAAACCACCAGAAAAAACACAAUUUCCCUCCAGCUCCUUUCACAGGCACGGUUCUUCCUAUAGUGAACAUGUGACUGCACCCCCUGUGAACCCUGCAAACAGCCCAUCUCAAGAUUUCAGCCAGUAUUCAAGUGAGACCUCAAAUUUAACACCUUAUUGGAAGGAUAUGCUAAAACCAGUACAUGCCUCUUACAGUAGAGCUCCUUUAAUGGGGUACUGGAGACCACCUGGUGGCUUUGAACUCACUAAAGACUUCCACAGAGUAAGUCAAACUGAUGUCCCACCUGCAAAAAACCUACCAUCUGCAUAUUCCUAUGGCAAAAAGCAUCCCCUUUCCAUGCAGCAUUAUUGGCCCAAAUACAAGACAAGAAUAGGUGCUUCAGUCCAGCCGGGUAAACCCACUGACAGCAAAGAGUUAAGGACUGUAAAAUAUGCUUCCAACAUUCACUGGCCUCCAAGUGGUUCUGUCUCUUUAAGCUUUAAUGACCCGUUACCCCAAUGGAGAAGAGGUCACAUGGGUUAUCAAAGCAGCCCACAAUACCCGCAAAUUCCUCAUUAUAAGCAAAAACAGAUGGACAGAGCUCGCUGGAUGUUUACCGCCAAACCCUUGAGUUUUGUUCCCGGAUACCAGAAAGUCAGUGCUGUUCCCUUCGUCCUAAAUGCCGGUGCAAAACAUGAGAAUUCAAACCUCUACAAUCAAGAACUCUUUUCUGCCUUUCAGAAACCACAUUACAAUAGAUUGAGAAAUCCACCCCAGAGUGGGCUUACAUCUUAUGGAGUAAGAAACACACUGGGCUCAUUCUCUAAACCACAAAGGCAAACUGUGAGGUCUGAACGUUUACGGCCUUUCAUGCAAUCAAACAGGCACAUGCCUCGAGUCAGUGUGAGUCGACGGCCCAGACACUUGGCCAACUGGCCUUCUGAACAGCAGCCUAAGCCUACAGGUUUGAUGCCUAAGUGUGUGAUUAAGAGGAACACAAAAAGCCUUCUUCCUCAAGAGUCCCGUAAUACAUCUCCAUCAUCGCCAUACGUUAAAUCCAAAAACCGCUUCACACGGGCCGUAGCAUAUCUGUCAAAGGUCUGUUUCACAUCUCGUACGGUGCAAGGGAAGAGUAAUAACAAUCAGUGGAGACUGGUCAGAAGAUGGCAUGAAUGAAAGGACACGAUAACUCAAUGUGCAAGACCGGGAAGAAUGAUGAACACAUUUUUGAAGAGAAGUCUCCCUCUACAUUAAGAUGCAUUCACUCAGUCCAGUGAAUACAUGGAGGCUCUGCUCUUUGCCUGUUGCCAUGGUGAAUCCUGGUACUAGAGCUCUGCUGAUGGCUAUUUUUCACUGCUUAUGCACAGGCUUAACUUGAGCUGAACAUAUUCAGCUGAUUGAACUUUCUAGAACUACAAGCAGCAGCUCAGCAUUAAUCAAGUUGGAGUUUGUUGAACCUGCUUCUAAAACAGAUCCCAUUAAGGCUGUAGCUGAAGUCUUGCUUUUGAAAGUCACUUUAAUGGUAACUUAAGCAUCAAGUCAACCUAAUUAAAGCCACUUGAAAAGAACAUUGGUGGGGAAUGCAAACAAGCAAAGCAUGAGUCAUUGUUUGCAUGUGCUUGAAACAUGUU